UUCUUGCUGUGCCUUGAAGAAACAGAUCUUAAGAAGUAAACAGAAAAAAAUGUUGUGUCUGACAAUCCAGCAUGACCUGCAAUAUGCUGCAUGGACUACAGAGCAAGAUAAAACAAAGAGGCUAAAUUCUAAACCGCAUUCCACCAAUGAAUCAAACAGAACUGGCAGGAAUAUCUGACAGAAGGCCAAAAUGUGGAUACAUCUAAAUCUCUAAACAUUUUUCCAGAAGUAAAAACCGGGAGACAGAAACAUUCUAUGAUUCUAUACUAGGCUGUUUGUUUGUGCCACUGCCAGUAUGUGCUGAGAUGCGCUUAUGCGAGGACACUGACCCAACCAUGUGUCCAUGCACACAUUCAGAUAAAAAUGGCUUUCCAAAUGGUUAGACAGAAAUAGAUAGAUAGAUAGAUAGAUAGAUAGAUAGAUAGAUAGAUAGAUAGAUAGAUAGAUAGAUCCCUGGUGGUUGCGGUGAUUAAUAUGUUGGAGGAAUCAAAUGUGGCUGAGUAUAUGCCUCAGCUCACCUCGCUAAUGACAGGCUGUGAAGAGCAGUGAGUCUGCAUACUAAUUACUGCAGUUUGGCCUGGCCCUGCACAGUCAACCUAAUUAUUUAUUGUGUGAGUGUGUAUUGCUAUAGAGAGAUGGGGAAUUUUCAGUUUAAAUGAAAGUAAGAGUCAUUGUUUUGAACUAUGGUUCAGAUGUCACAUAUGAAUACUAAAUAUUGUAUUUUACACUGCAAAUGUGCCACAAAACAGUACCUGAAGUAGCAAAAAGUAUAUGAAAUGUUCCAUUUAAUGGAACACUGAGGUGGCAUUAAAGGGAUACUCCACCCCAAAAUGAAAAUUUUGUCAUUAAUCUCUUACCCCCAUGUCGUUCCAAACCCAUAAAAGCUUUGUUCGUCUUCUGAACACAAUUUAAGAUAUUUUGGAUGAAAAAUGGGAGGCUUGAGACUGUCACAUAGACUGCCAAGUAAAUUACACUGUCAAGGUCCUGGAAAGUAUGAAAAGCAUCGUCAGAAUAUUCCAUCUGUGCGGUCGGAGCAGUACGCAGAUGCGGUA
ensembl:lncRNA